GUAAGGCAGAAAUGCGUAGCUGAUGGGAAGCUGGUUAAUAUUCCAGCACCUUUAUUUAAUGCGGUGUGGGGACGAAGAAGGCUAGCUUAUCCGGGUGUUGGAUGUCCCGGUUGAAGCGUGUAGACGUGCUGCCUAGGCAAAUCCGGGCGGCUAAGUUGAGUCGUGAUAACGAAACUCAUUCGUGAGCCAAGUAAGUGAUGCCCUGCUUCCAGGAAAAGCCCCUAAGCUUCAGUUAAAUAAAGACCGUACCGCAAACCGACACAGGUGGGUGAGAUGAGAAUUCUAAGGCGCUUGAGAGAACUCGGGAGAAGGAACUCGGCAAAUUGACACCGUAACUUCGGGAGAAGGUGUGCCUCUAGUAUGUGUAGCAUCUUGCAUGCGAAGCAGAAAAAGGUUGCAAUAAAAAGGUGGCUGCGACUGUUUAAUAAAAACACAGCACUCUGCAAACACGAAAGUGGACGUAUAGAGUGUGACGCCUGCCCGGUGCCGGAAGGUUAAGUGAUGGGGUGCAAGCUCUUGAUCGAAGCCCCGGUAAACGGCGGCCGUAACUAUAACGGUCCUAAGGUAGCGAAAUUCCUUGUCGGGUAAGUUCCGACCUGCACGAAUGGCGUGACGAUGGCCACACUGUCUCCUCCCGGGACUCAGCGAAGUUGAAAUGUUUGUGAAGAUGCAAUCUACCCGCGGCUAGACGGAAAGACCCCGUGCACCUUUACUGUAGCUUUACAUUGGAUUUUGAUCAUGUUUGUGUAGGAUAGGUGGGAGGCUAUGAAAUAUGCUCGCCAGAGUGUAUGGAGCCAUCCUUGAAAUACCACCCUAGCAUUAUCGAAAUUCUAACCUAGGUCCAUUAUCUGGAUCAGGGACCGUGUAUGGUAGGCAGUUUGACUGGGGCGGUCUCCUCCCAAAGAGUAACGGAGGAGUACGAAGGUACGCUAGGUACGGUCGGAAAUCGUGCUGAUAGUGCAAUGGCAUAAGCGUGCUUGACUGCGAGACUGACAAGUCGAGCAGGUGCGAAAGCAGGUCAUAGUGAUCCGGUGGUUCUGUAUGGAAGGGCCAUCGCUCAACGGAUAAAAGGUACGCCGGGGAUAACAGGCUGAUUCCUCCCAAGAGUUCAUAUCGACGGGGGAGUUUGGCACCUCGAUGUCGGCUCACCACAUCCUGGGGCUGAAGCCGGUCCCAAGGGUAUGGCUGUUCGCCAUUUAAAGUGGUACGUGAGCUGGGUUUAAAACGUCGUGAGACAGUUUGGUCCCUAUCUGCCGUGGGCGUUGGAAGUUUGAGUGGGGCUGCUCCUAGUACGAGAGGACCGGAGUGGACGCACCUCUGGUGUACCGGUUGUCACGCCAGUGGCAUCGCCGGGUAGCUAUGUGCGGAAGAGAUAACCGCUGAAAGCAUCUAAGCGGGAAACUUGCCACAAGAUUAGACUUCCCGGGAGUAUAACUCCCCUAAAGGUUCGUUGGAGACUACAACGUUGAUAGGUCGAAUGUGGAAGCACAGUAAUGUGUUGAGCUAAUCGAUACUAAUUGACCGUGAGGCUUGAUCCU
rnacentral:rRNA from 1 species